rnacentral:rRNA from 1 species
UACAGAGGGUGCAAGCGUUGUUCGGAUUCAUUGGGCGUAAAGGGUGCGUAGGUGGCGCCGUAAGUCAGGUGUGAAAUCUCGGGGCUCAACCCCGAAACUGCACUUGAUACUGCGGUGCUCGAGUACUGGAGAGGAGAUUGGAAUUUACGGUGUAGCAGUGAAAUGCGUAGAUAUCGUAAGGAAGACCAGUGGCGAAGGCGAAUCUCUGGACAGUUACUGACACUGAGGCACGAAGGCCAGGGGAGCAAACGGG